UACGAAGGGGGCUAGCGUUGCUCGGAAUUACUGGGCGUAAAGCGCACGUAGGCGGAUUCUUAAGUCAGGGGUGAAAUCCUGGAGCUCAACUCCAGAACUGCCUUUGAUACUGGGAAUCUCGAGUCCGGGAGAGGUGAGUGGAACUGCGAGUGUAGAGGUGAAAUUCGUAGAUAUUCGCAAGAACACCAGUGGCGAAGGCGGCUCACUGGCCCGGUACUGACGCUGAGGUGCGAAAGCGUGGGGAGCAAACAGG
rnacentral:rRNA from 1 species